rnacentral:rRNA from 1 species
AGCAGUGGGAGCCCCACCACUAAGCCAGUGGUGAACUCCACAUACGCAUCCUUUGCUGAAGGUGCGGUUAACGGAGCGCAAGCGACGUUCAACCUCAAAAGAAGCGGAGGGUGCUUUGGGGUGGGGUGACUGCGUACCUUUUGUAUAAUGGGUCAGCGACUUAUAUUCUGUAGCAAGGUUAACCGUAUAGGGGAGCCGGAGGGAAA